GGGCAGCAGAGGCUGAGAAAGGGAAACUGAAAUCUUGCGGAGCUGAGGCUUAGCGGCUGCCGCAGCCGGAGUUUGGAGGGACUUGCCCCACCCACAGGCCAUUCGUGCAUCCUCCAGCCACAGAGGAAAUCAGAUUUCCAUCAUCUUUCACUGUGUGCCCCUAACGGAUGUAUCACUCCCUCUCUCCUCUAGAGGGUAAAAUUCUAAACCAUCUGAAGAUUCUGAAGGGAGACAGGGACAGGAUUUGGAAUUUUCAGUCUACGGGACAACAUGAGAUUCAGGCCCUGCUGGCAAAAUUCCAGAACCACAAGCAAGACAUAGCAUCAGUGUUUGAGCAGGGUCAUCAGUUCCUGAGAGAAAGGGAGCAGUACCUGUUGAAGUGGCUGGAUGGGAUGGAGCAAGAGCUCACUGAAGGGAGGAACAGCCAUGUCACCAAGGGCUCUGAGGAAGUCUUCCAGCUUGAGACCCUGAUUUCUGAGUUAGAAAAGAAGGCUCGGCAGCCAGCACUUGAACUUUUGCAGAUAUCCCCGGAAGAAGUUCUGGAUUGAAAAGUCUAUCAGUCCUCCAAUCAAAAAGCAGACAGAAGAAUUUUCAGAUUAACUUCUUUCUUUAGAGAAAGGACUCAAAGAAUUCCAUGGUAAAAGAAGGGGUUUGAGCCUAGAAAAACUUCUUACUUUCUCUAUAAUGUUUCCUUAGGUUUUGAUUGUGGCGGUGGCUUCUCAGAGUUCCUCGCUCUUGUGCACCUCACUUACACCACGCAGGGACAUCGGGGAGGGAAUCUAAGCAAGUCCAAACCAGAGAGGAUUCCACGUGAGAGUCUAACAAUGUUACCUAGACUAAAGUAGAAUCAUAGUCAAUAGGUCUCAGAGUUGGUAAAAAGAUAUUUCACCUUUAACAGUGAGGUAAAAGAAAAUUGGAAGGCUAUGGAAAACAGUGUGGCAUUUCCUCAAACAAUUAAAAAUAUAAUUACCAUAUGAUCCAGCAUUUCCACUUUCCAAAGAAUUAAAAGCAGGAUCUCGAAGAGGUAUUUGCACACUCAUGUUCAUAGCAGCAUUAUUCACUAUAGCCAGGUGGUAGAAGCAACCCAAAUGUCCAUCAGUGCAUGAAUGGAUGAACAAAAUGUGGCAUGUGGAAUGUGUAGACAAUGGAACAUUAUUCAGCUUAAGAAAGGAAGGAAAUUCUGACACAUGCUACAAGAUGGAUGAAUCUUGAGGACAUUAUAUUAAGUGAAGUGAGCCAGUCACAAAGGGACAAGUACUGUAUGAUUCCAUUUUGAGGUCUUUAAAGUAGUCAAAUCUAUAGGAACAGAAAGUAGAUUAGUGGUUGGAAGGAAGGGGAAAUGAGGAGCUGUUGUUUAAUGGGUAUAGAGUUGGAGUUUUGAAGAAUGGAAAAGUUCUGGGGCUUCCCUGGUGGCACAGUGGUUAAGAAUCUCCCUGCCAAUGCAGGGGACACGGGUUCCAGCCCGGGGCCGGGAGGAUCCCACAUGCCGCGGAGCAACUAAACCCAUGCGCCACAACUACUGGGCCUGCGCUCUAGAGCCUAUGAGCCACAACUACUGAAGUCCAUGCUCCUAGAGUCCAUGCUCCGCAACAAGAGAAGCCACUGCAGUGAGAAGCCUGUGCACCGCAACGAAGAGUAGCCUCCGUUUGCCACAACUAGAGAAAGCCCGCACUCAGCAGUGAAGACCCAACGCAGCCAAAAAUAAAUAAAUAAAUUUAUUUAUUUAAAGUGAGAGAGUGGCAUGGACCUAUAUACACU